rnacentral:rRNA from 1 species
AGAGUUUGAUCCUGGCUCAGGGUGAACGCUAGUAGUAUGCUUAACACAUGCGAGUCGAACGAAGACUUUUUCUUCGUGGCGUACGGGUGAGUAAUACACAGGAAUCUGCCUUUUAGUUCAGGAUAAAAUUCUGAAUAAUCAAAGAAAUCUUUUCGCUAAAAGAUGAGCCUGUGGAGGAUUAGGUAGUUGGUGUUGGGUAAAAGCCUACCAAGCCUAUGAUCCUUAGCUGUUCUGAGAGGUUGUACAGCCACACUGGGACUGAGACAAGGCCCAGGCUCCAUUCGGAGCCAGCAGUGAGGAAUUUUGGACAAUGAGCGAAAGCUUGAUCCAGCAAUACUACACGAGUGAUGAAGGCUUUCAAGUUGUAAAACUCUUUGGUUGAGGAGGAUAAUGACAGUACUCAACAAAAUAGCCCCGGCUAACUUCGUGCCAGCAGCCGCGGUAAGACGAAGGGGGCGAGCGUUAUCCGGAAUGACUGGGCGUAAAGGGUCCGUAGGCAGCAUUUUUUGUUAGAGGUAAAAGAAAAAAGCUCAACUUUUUUUGGCUUCUAAAACGUAAAUGCUUUGAGUUUGAAAGGGGAUAGCAGAAUUUCACAUGGAGGGGUGAUAUCCGUAGAUAUGUGAAGGAAUACCAGAGGCGAAGGCGGCUAUCCAGUUCAAUACUGACGUUGAGGGACGAAAGCAUGGGGAGCAAACAGGAUUAGAUACCCUGGUAGUCC